GGUUGUUUUCCAAGUUGAAAAUGAGUUUAGGGUAGGGUAGCUGUUUUCUCCUUGUUAGCUAGAAAGUUUAUCAACUGCAGAGCUCACUUCAAAUUUGUGACAAUCACUCCCUCCCCCUUUUAUUCUACCCUUUUUUCUCCUUCCCUUUUUUCUUCCUUCCCUUCUCUUUUCUUAACUCUCUCCCUCUGCUUUUCCCUCUCCCUUUCUAAUGAACAGUCUGUUCUCACAUAAUGUAGAACAGGGAUUUUAAAGACUCAAUACUCCCAUGUCAUCCUCAGUUCUAAAGGACUUGACUGCAAGUAGGGGGCCCCAAGGAAGGAGGAAAAUCCAUACCCGCUGACCAGGCAACAGGUGUUCAUCAUGGAACUAUUUUAACAAAAGUGCAUGUUCCUUCCAACCAAAGAAAUGCAUGUGCAAUAAAAAGCCUUAAAAACAGGUGAAAUAAACCUCAUUUUCUGAGCGACUUACAAACCUGAGAACAGAGGGGAAGGUGUGCAGUGGUUCCAGAGGGGCCUUACAGUCAGUCUGGUUUUAGUCUAGAUUUUUUUUUUAAUAAAUUCCCAAGGAAUUGUUAACACUUUGGUGACACCUAAUGGAUUCUUUGUGAAGUUCCAAGGUGCUUUGGUUCUUUCCUUAAGUGAACUGUGCCUUUUAUUGCAUUUCUGUUUCCUCUUGGUGUCUCUUCUAACUUUUUAGAGACUGGCUAUCUUGUUGGAGGCAGAUGUAAGUGUUGGUUGUGCUGUGCCACACAAGCUACCGAGACAAUCAGAUCUUCCUAGGCUUUUAAGAAAAAAACGGGGGGAAAAAAGAGUAGAACUAGCUAUAAAAUAUGUAUGGCACAUCUUGUUUAAUUUUGCAUGUGACUUCUAUUUAGUGCAUUAAUGAGGUUUUAGUGACAUUGUCAUCCAACACUUUACCUUUAUUGUUCAGGGACUGCCUUCAUGACUUUUAUACUAGUUUUACUAUUCAUACUAUAGCUUGGGUUUGAGUAUACUAUUAUCAACUACCUGGUCUUUUAAUUACUUGUCCCAGUAAACUUAUAGUUUGUGAAGCAUUUGCUUCUCAGAUUAAGACACUGUUAGAACCUAAAGUAGUAGCUGAUGGGUAUCUGUGAAUUUUUUUUUUU
rnacentral:lncRNA from 1 species